rnacentral:tRNA from 1 species
GAGGGUAUAGCUCAGUAGUAGGGUGCCUGCUUAGCAUGCAUGAGGUCCUGGGUUCAAUCCACAGUCCCUCCA